CUCAACUUUACAAUGGAGGGUAGGAAUGAAGGAACCAAGUUACCUAAAACCAUCGCGUUAAUACUUCUGCUUGCAUUAUUACUGAUAGGUUAGAAGUUCUGAAGCCAGAUGAAGUCGACAGAACAAAGGCUAAAGACAUUCCUAAGGAAAAGGUAUGCCGAGCGGCUGAAAA
rfam:Sporosarcina psychrophila strain DSM 6497, complete genome.